rnacentral:rRNA from 1 species
GACGAACGCUGGCGGCGUGCUUAACACAUGCAAGUCGAACGAAGUGGCGAACGGGUGAGUAACGUGUAAUCAACCUGCCCUUCAGAGGGGGACAACAGUUGGAAACGACUGCUAAUACCGCAUACUGAAGGAGGGGAUUGCGUCUGAUUAGCUAGCUGGAGGGGUAACGGCCCACCAAGUCGAUGAUCAGUCGCCGGUCUGUGAGGAUGAACGGCCAAAAUGGGACUGGGACACGGCCCAGAAUCCUACGGGAGGCAGCAGUGGGGGAUCUUCCGCAAUGGACGAAAGUCUGACGGAGCAACGCCGCGUGGGAGAUGACGGCCUUCGGGUUGUAAAGCUCUGUUAAUCGGGACGCGGUACCGGAAUAGAAAGCCACGGCUAACUACGUGCCAGCAGCCGCGGUAAUAC